GUGAGGAAUAUUGGUCAAUGGACGAGAGUCUGAACCAGCCAAGUCGCGUGAAGGAAGACGGUUCUAUGAAUUGUAAACUUCUUUUGUGCAGGAAUAAAGUGGGUUACGUGUAACCUUUUGUAUGUACUGUACGAAUAAGGAUCGGCUAACUCCGUGCCAGCAGCCGCGGUAAUACGGAGGAUCCGAGCGUUAUCCGGAUUUAUUGGGUUUAAAGGGUGCGUAGGUGGAUUGAUAAGUCAGCGGUGAAAGUUUGCAGCUUAACUGUAAAAUUGCCGUUGAAACUGUCGGUCUUGAGUGAAAAUGAGGUAGGCGGAAUGUGUUGUGUAGCGGUGAAAUGCUUAGAUAUAACACAGAACUCCGAUUGCGAAUGCAGCUUACUGGGAUGCAACUGACACUGAUGCACGAAAGCGUGGGUAUCAAACAGGAUUAGAAACCCUAGUAGUCC
rnacentral:rRNA from 1 species